GCCGGGCGCGGUGGCGCGCGCCUGUAGUCCCAGCUACUCGGGAGGCUGAGGCUGGAGGAUCGCUUGAGCUCAGGAGUUCUGGGCUGCAGUGCGCUAUGCCGAUCGGGUGUCCGCACUAAGUUCGGCAUCAAUAUGGUGACCUCCCGGGAGCGGGGGACCACCAGGUUGCCUAAGGAGGGGUGAACCGGCCCAGGUCGGAAACGGAGCAGGUCAAAACUCCCGUGCUGAUCAGUAGUGGGAUCGCGCCUGUGAAUAGCCACUGUACUCCAGCCUGGGCAACAUAGCGAGACCCCGUCU
rnacentral:SRP_RNA from 1 species